AAGUCGUAACAAGGUUUCCGUAGGUGAACCUGCGGAAGGAUCAUUAACACGUAUCCAAACGUUAAACCCCCCUGUGAACCUUCAAUGUACUCGUACGUCCGUUAGAAAAAGCAGCAAUCCCUGGUAAAUCAUCGCCGAACAGUUUUCGAUUCAGGGACGUCUGCAAGUGGCAUCCCCAAGCAGUUAGUGUCUGAAAGUGUCAUUAACUGUGUGAGGAUGACGCAGUCACGAUCGUUGGAGGCCCACACGGCCGACGACCGGGUCACCGGGCGCAAGCCCCCCUAAAACAAACGCUGGCAGUCGACCAAAAACCGAACAACUGUUAACAAUGGAUAUCUUGGUUCUC
rnacentral:misc_RNA from 1 species